rnacentral:lncRNA from 15 species
ACAACCACUGCUGCAACUACAACCACUGCUGUAACAACUACAGCUGCUCCAACUACAACAACAGUAGCAACUACAACACCUGCUCUGACUACAACCACUGCUGCAACUACAACACCUGCUCCGACCACAACCACUGCUGCAACUACAACACCUGCUCCGACCACAACCACUGCUGCAACAACGACAGCUGCUCCAACUACAACAACAGUAGCAACAACAACAGCUGCUCUGACUACAACAACGGCAGCAACGACAACAGCUACUCCAACCACAACCACUGCUGCAACAACAACACCUACUCCGACUACAACAACGGUACCAACGACAACAGCUGGUCCAACCACAACCACUGCUGCAACUACAACAGCUGCUCCCACUACAACAACGGCAGCAACGACAACUGCUGCUCCAACCUCAACCAAUGCUGCAACAACGACAGCUGCUCCAACUACAACAACAGUAGAAGCUACAAUACCUGCUCUGACCACAACCACUGCUGCAACUACAACACCUGCUCCGACCACAACCACUGCUGCAACUACAACACCUGCUCCGACCACAACCACUGCUGCAACUACAACAGCUGCUCCAACUACAACAACAGUAGCAACAACAACAGCUGCUCCGACUACAACAACGGCAGCAACGACAACAGCUACUCCAACCACAACCACUGCUGCAACAACAACACCUACUCCGACUACAACAACGGUACCAACGACAACAGCUGGUCCAACCACUACCACUGCUGCAACUACAACAGCUGCUCCCCCUACAACAACGGCAGCAACGACAACUGCUGCUCCAACCACAACCAAUGCUGCAACAACGACAGCUGCUCCAACUACAACAACAGUAGAAGCUACAAUACCUGCUCUGACCACAACCACUGCUGCAACAACGACAGCUGCUCCAACUACAACCACUGCUGCAACUACAACACCUGCUCCGACCACAACCACUGCUGCAACUACAACAGCUGCUCCAACUACAACAACGGUAGCAACGACAACAGCUGCUGCAACCACUACCACUGCUGCAACUACAAAACCUGCUUUGACUACAACCACUGCUGCAACAACAGCUGCUCCAACUACAACAAUGGUAGCAACUACAACACCUGCUCUGACUACAACCACUGCUGCAACAACCAUGGUAGCAACCACAACAGCUAGUCCCACCACAACCACUUCUGCAACAACGACAGCUGCUCCAACUACAACAACGGUAGCAAUGACAACAGCUUCUCCGACUACAACAACUGCUGCAACACCCACAGCUGCUCUGACCACAACCACUGCUGCAACAACGACAGCUGCUCUAACUACAACAACGGCAGUAACGACAACAGCGGCUCCAACUACAACUACUGCUGCAACAACAACAGCUGCUCCGACUACAUCAGUGGCACCAACCACCACCAAUGCUGCAACUACACCACCUCCUCUGACUACAACCACUGCUCCAACAACCACAGCUGCUCCGACUACACCAACGACAGCGACGACAACAGCUGGUCCAACCACUACCACUGCUGCAACGACUAGACCUGCUCUGACUACAACCACUGCUGCAACAACGACAGCUACUCCAACUAAAACCACUGCUGCAACAACAACAGCUGGUCUGACUACAACCACUGCUGCAACAACAACGGUUGCUCCAACUACAACCACUGCCUCAACAACAACAGCUGGUCAAACCACAAGCACUGCUGCAAUGACAACACCUGUUCCAACAACAACCACUCCUUCAGCAACAUCUGCUCUGACUACAACAACAGCAGCAACAACAACAACCACUUUUGUAACAACAACACCAGUUCCAACCACGACGACAACAACAACAACAACAACAGGGGCAACAACAACUCCUUCUCCAACAACAACAACAGCAGCAAUGACAACUGUUGCUCCAACAACAACUACAACUGUUGCUGAACCUGUUUAUACUGUUAGAGCAACCUUGGCAAAAGAAUUUUCAAAUGAACUCACUGAUCCCAACAGUAGUCAAUUCAAAGACCUUGAAAAAGAAGUUGUAUCAAUGUGUAAGGACAUAUAUGGAAAAGCAUUUGGUCGUCGUUUUAAGCGCUGCUUUGUGAAACAGUUCAGGUAAGAAUCAAAUUUGUAUCUUCUAAUGUUGAGAGUGUCAUGUGUAAAUCACACUUGAUACAAGACAACAGAAUCACCUCAUCUCAUUUUACUCCUUUGUUGGUUUUAUAAAACAGGGCUGUUCCACCCCCAGCAAGAGCAGAAGGAACUCAAGUAGAUAUUGGGAUUGUGUUCAGUGAGACUACUCCUCCUGCAGAACUCCCAAAGAAUAAUGUCAUUGCUCAAACCUUUGCAAACGCUCUGACUAAUUCCAACAAUACCUUCAACGUGAGCAUAAGUCCUUCCUCUGUUGAAAUAGCUGGUAAGUAAACACAACACAAUGUUUUACUCUAAUCAGCAUUUAAAACAUUCUUUUUUAUUUACUUAUUCUUUUUUUUGUAUUUACAGACGGGCCAGUUCCAGAUACAACUACACCUGCCAAUACUACACCUGUUGGACCUGCUACGGCAGCAACUUCAACUGCCAAUCCAACAACUGCUGGACUUCCAACUACCGCAAUCACAAUAAUAAGGGCAUCUUUCAGAUCUCGUCUUCAGGAAUUUUCAAGUGACUUGCUGAAUUCAUCAUCUCCAGCUUUUAUAAGUCGAGCUGCAAUGAUAAAGACACAGGUAAGCCUCACCCUUGGAAUAAAAUACAUUUACAUACACUGGUAUUGUUGUACACACAAAAAUGUUCACAUAGACCACAAAUACACAUAAAUAAACUUCAUAUUACUGAAAGAAAUUAACAGUUCAGCUCUUCCUUUAAACACGUUAUUGUUAUUAAUAAAAAAAUGUUCUUCCUGUCUGUCUCCUGGUCACAAUUUGUUGAAGAGAGUAAAAGUGUGGAGAGUAAAACAAACACGGAAAAUAAAGAAAAUUUAAUUCUCACAGGAAUUGAUGGCAGAGACAUCAAGGGGAUCUCAUCUCAUAUACACGCAGUUCAGUGUUCUAUGGCAAAAAUAGAAGUAAAAAGUCUCAAUAGAAUUUGUUCCCUGUUUCUGCAGCUUCAACCUUUCUUCCAAGCAGCAUUCCCAUCCUCCUUCCAGUCCUUGAACGUAAAGUCAUUCAGGUAAUUUGUUAACACUGAUUGUGUUACAAUUUAAAAGUAGUAGCCUAAAAUCUGAUAUUUCAAAUUAUAUUUUUUUUAUCUCCUUCUGCAGAAGUGGAUCAAUCAUCAACGAAAUGAACCUUGGCUUUGCAAGUACAUCUGUUCCUAACAACACUCAGAUUGCGAAUGUUUUAAUCAACGCAUCUUCAACCAUCAGCGGUUUCGACAUUGAAGGCAGCUCCAUCACCGUGAAUGACAUACGUAAGCAAUAUUGAUUACUAAUUGAUGGAAUUACCAAUUUCAAAAGUUUCAAAUAGCACAACUAUUUGUUAAACUAAUAUUUUGUUUCCUUUUCUCUUCUUUCACAGCUUCAAGUGGAGUAAGCCACAAGAUCAGUUUCGUCACUGCAUCCUGCCUUGUACUGUUGUCAUGGCUACUGUCAAGCCAGCAAUAGUUUAGAUGAACUUACUACAAAUUUAACUUUGCACUUAACUGACAUAUUUAUGACUGGUGGAUUAGGUAUGGUUGUCUAACUGAACACAUUUCUGUGUGGAAACGUCCAGGAUCCUGGAACAGAUAGUAUGACAGGGAACUUUAUACACACUAGUGACUGAAUCAUCACUAGAAUAAUAAGCCAAACUAUAUAAGAACACUAUCUAUUAAACCAUGGGAUGUCAGAAAAAUAAUUACUGCACUAUUGCACUAUUAAUGUAAAAAUUCAUCUUGCUUCACUGAGCACUGUGCUAUAGCUAUAUUUAACUUUGAGUCAAUUGAUAAUGCGUUGUUUAGUCUUGUUCACGUAAAAGUGAAAGUAAAACCAUGAAUUCACUCUUAAAUCAACGACAAUAUUUUUUUUAAACAUGCUUGAUUGAUAAAUGUGAGUGCUAGAUUUCACAGUGUUAAGUAAAUCUUCAUCAAAACGUUUUUUGUCAUUUUUACAAAGAAACAAUCAACAUCCUCCCAUUUUACUUUGAUCUAAAACUUUACUUUGAUCUAAAACUUUUUUUUAAAUUUUCAUCAAAUUCAGACAACAUAACAUAACAGCAUCAGUACAUCUCCACAGAGAGCAUAUUGUAAAGGGAACAAGAGCUUUAAAUUAAAUGAAGGAAAAAGUGGAGCUCAUAGUGGGCUCAUAAUGAAUUUUAUCAAGGGUCAUGGUAAACACAUGUAAAAAAAAAUGUUUUUAUUAUAUUAAUAUUUUUAUUUAUACAAUGUGUAUUUAUGUAAUCAUAAUGUAUCUAGCUAUAUUCUGAGAUUUCUUGUAAUUUAUACAAUUUCUGUCAGAAACAUUACAAAUGAUCAGAAUAAAACAUUUUUGAAGAAUUGAAAUCAUCUCUGGUGUCAUGUUUU